GGAGAUAUGAUGUUCACAUGGUCACAUGAAUCCAAAUACCAUGACGUAAGCGUGACGUGUGACGGACGUCACUUAGGAUUCACGAGAGUUUAUGAUAAUAAAAUUGUCCUUAAGGAUAUCCUUAACUACAAUAUUGUCGAGGUUCUUGUUCGUGCCACGAUUCGCUCUACAUACGUCGAAAGUAGAAUGACAUUUCAUCAAUCAGUGUUAGAAGUGACAGGAGGAAGCAAUGUGACGCUGUACAUACCAAUCCCAACCACAGCUAAAACGUUGUUUCAGCUGACAGAUUCUGGUGCUAGCAUGCCUCGUUACGCUGUGUCUGCAGAAGAGUUAGCAGCCUCAGCCGGGUUGUUUACAUUUGUUUUAUCAAAUGUUUCCGCGACUGAUGCAGGCUACUACGCAUUAGGAUACGAUGUUCAGUCUUGUAGAACAAACCAUGGAGUCGUGCUUGUAGUCAAUGCUUUGCCAGACAAUCCAAAAAUCACAGGAAUACGAAAUGUACCUAUUGGUCAAUCAACAAUACUCAAAUGUCACAGCAUGUCGCGGUCAAGGCCACUUUACUUUAAACAUUUUCCCGCCAUCGUUUAUACGUGGAUGGUGAACAAUACAGUCGUCCAGUCUGAUAGCCAGACACUGACCAUGAACGUAACUUCCUAUACGUAUGUCCAAUGCCAGGCUAGAGAGCAGUUGACAUCAAUAAGUGACUUUGCUUACAUCCAACCUCUGUAUGGUCCGGAAGCUGUGACGAUGACUCCCGAAUUCCACACAAGUGUAAAGUUGCAUAAUGGUGCAAGCUUUGGACCUGUAUCCUGCAUGGCAGACUGCAAUCCGCCUUGUACAUUCCAAUGGAGAAAAGUGAAUUUGGAUGGGACAAUCGAUGAAGUUAUAACAACAGCAAAUUUACCAAGACAGACUGUUAAUAGCACGGAACCUCUGAAAUACCAGUGUGUGGCAAUUGGUGAUUACAAAAACAGUCGUGGUUCAAAUACAGUCUCAACGGAAAUUAACAUAGAUGUGCAAUAUCUUGCUAAUCCGACCAUUCUCGGAAUUAUAAACGGGAACAUAAUCACAGAAAAUAUCAUACAAGCCAAGGAAGGAGCGUCUGCUGUAAUUCAAUGUUCGUGUGCCGGCAAUCCAAAGUCCAAGGUUUAUAUAACCGGUAAUGAUGAGAAAGGAGACAUUUCAUGGUUACCAGGGAAAAAAGCUGAAUCUGUGUAUAGUUAUCAUAAACUGAAGUGUGAACACACGCAAGAGUAUACGUGUGAUGCUUAUAAUGACCAACUCAAUCAUACCUCAAGUUCAAUUCAUCUGUUCGUAGAAUGCUCUCCAAGGUUAGACGUUAAUAAAUCGUUUCCUCUGCAUUAUCAAGAAAACAUCGACGGGUAUGUUGUUUUAAAAGCUCCGCUGAUCUCGUACCCAAAGCCAAAAGAAGCCACUUGGUUUGGACCCAGGGGGGAACAAUUUAAACUUGACACUGCCUCAACAAUUAGCCAAGGGGAUAAACCAUACCAGUUUUGGAUUCACACUGAGAUUCAUAUCAUUAAUGAAUCCUCUUUUGGAUAUUAUAAACUCUUUGUCGAAGGGGAAGAAAUUCAAACUAUUAUAAUAGAAAACAAAGAGUCUACAAGUUCCGGUUUAAUGGCGUACUUAUCGACUUUGCCGUUGUUGACACUUGUUACCUUUGCUCUUGGAGGAACCAUAUUAUUGUUCUGCUUCAUAUCCACUCUCUGCUACUUCGGAAGGAAAUACAAAAGGAGACAAGGACAUCACAAUCGGAAGACGUCUGUUAUUUCAUCGGAACUGGAGACAGGACCAAUGCAAAACAGGACACAAUCCUUUCAGAGAUAUUCACCGAUCCCCGGUCGUGGAGUUAUUGAGGGCGACUACGAACCCAUUGACACUCUUGACGAUAGAUCAUAUCUUUCCGUGUUUCAUAAAGGAGAUGAAAUAAAGCACUCGCAAGACGAAUCCUCUUUUAGUGAGAAUACAUCAGAAGCAGAGACAUGCACAUACGAGAUUGAGGGUCGCAUCUAUUACUGCGUUACAGAGACAUCCAACAGUUGUAAAGAAAAAGGUGAAUAUGAAGAACUUCCAACCACCUAGACGAACAUUAAAUGAAUUUUCUAUGUACGAUUUUCGAUUAAAAUAAAAGAUGGAAGUAUGUAGUUAUUUUGUGCGAAAACAAAAGAAGAGCACGAAUUUUUGUUUGUUUAAUUUUUGGUUUUGUUUUGUUUCUGUUUUUUUUGUUUUUGUUUACCUCUAUGCCAUACAAUUGUGAAAUGUAUUCGCCGAGUUUUUAUUACAUACAAAAAACUGGUCACGGUGUUUUGUUUGGACGGUGUGCAUUUAACGUCCCACAUUUUAGCCAUUGAAUGAUAAUAAAAAUGUUCACACAUUUUUCUAUUGAAUGUUAAUUUGUACUUAUACCAAUUGUUUGUCCUAUAUCCGUUCAUGCAGAUGUUUUUAAUAACACACGUUAAUGCAAUGGGAUAUGUGUUUUCUUCUCAACCAGAUAUGUUAUCGGACCGACGGCAUACAGAUAUUAAUAUUCAGUGUGUAUAUAUAUUCUCGUCGAAAUAUUAAUGUUUAGAUAUAUAUGCUAGACACCGUUUGACAGUCACACUGUACGGUUUUAGUCAGGUAUAUGAAUAAUGAAUCUAACAGUCAUAAGGUACAAUUAAGUGGACCUUUGUAAAUAAAAACGUAACGCAACAAAUAUUGAGGGGUAUUUUUUCCCAGUCAUGUUUAAAGACAUCUGAGUUGGCUAACUGGCACAGGCAGAUUCAUUUUAUGCAUUGUAAGAGUUGGCUCAUAUUUCAACUUGCAUUUUAUAUACCUGCUACGUGCGCUUUAGAUUUGAAUGCUUAUUUACAAUGAAUGCCAAAAAUAAAAUUUUAUAAAUGCU
rnacentral:sRNA from 1 species